CCGGCCCGACGACCGCGGGGAAAGCAGGCGCCCCGGGGCCGCUCGCGCCCGGACUCGCGGCGUCGGCAGCCCAGGGCCCGUCCCCUCCCCGCCACGCCCGCCUACCCGCUGCUCCCGCCACUGCUCGGCACGGCUUGCCAAUCCCAGCCGCUUCGGGAGGCCGCGGCCCGGAGGACGCCGGGGGAAGGCCAUGCGGGUUUUUUUGCUUUGAAAAGUGCUUCUGUGUGGUAAUAAAUGAGCUCCUGCUUGACUUGACUCCCCACAGCCUCUGAUUGUCUCUGAGGCUAAGGGAGGGGAAAGACCCGACACCUGGUGUCCAACGUGGGGCCCGAAAGGAAAAUAUAUCAGCCGAGGCUAAGCGGUCUCUCAGGUCUGUGUAGGAAUUUGCAGCCCAGCAUGAGGUGUGACAG